rnacentral:rRNA from 1 species
AGCCUGAACGCUGGCGGCGUGGCUAAGACAUGCAAGUCGCACGGUGUAGCAAUACACAGUGGCGAACGGGAGAGUAAAGAAUCGCUAACGUACCCUGGACUCUGGGAUAGCUGCCCGAAGGGGCAGGUAAUACCAGAUUAUAUAACCUGGUGGCAUCAUCGGGUUCUCAAAGGUCCGCCGGUCUGGGAGCGGGCGAUUUCGAGUCAGCUAGUUGGUGAGGUAACGGCUCACCAAGGCGACGACGCGUAGCCGGACUGAGAGGUUGGCCGGCCUCAUUGGGACUGAGACACUGCCCAGACUCCUACGGGGGGCUGGCAGUAACGAAUCUUCCGCAAUGUACGAAAGUAUGACGGAGCGACGCCGCGUGGAGGACGAAGUUCUUCGGAAUGUAAACUCCUGUCAGGGUUAGAAAGUUCUGAUCAACCCAGAGGAAGCACGGCUAACUCUGUGCCAGCCAGCCGC